UGCACUUGAAUAAUAGCUCCUGGCUUUGUC
rnacentral:piRNA from 1 species